rnacentral:rRNA from 1 species
CCCUAGUAACUGCGAGUGAAGCGGGAAAAGCUCAAAUUUAAAAUCUGGCGGUCUUUGACUGUCCGAGUUGUAAUCUAGAGAAGUGUUAUCCGCGCUGGACCGUGUACAAGUCUCCUGGAAUGGAGCGUCAUAGAGGGUGAGAAUCCCGUCUUUGACACGGACUGCCAGGGCUUUGUGAUGCGCUCUCAAAGAGUCGAGUUGUUUGGGAAUGCAGCUCAAAAUGGGUGGUAAAUUCCAUCUAAAGCUAAAUAUUGGCGAGAGACCGAUAGCGAACAAGUACCGUGAGGGAAAGAUGAAAAGAACUUUGGAAAGAGAGUUAAACAGUACGUGAAAUUGCUGAAAGGGAAACGCUUGAAGUCAGUCGCGUUGGCCGGGGAUCAACCUUGCUUUUGCUGGGCGUACUUUCCGGUCGACGGGUCAGCAUCAAUUUUGACCGGUGGAUAAAGGCUGAGGGAAUGUGGCUCCUUCGGGAGUGUUAUAGCCCUUGGUCGCAUACAUCGAUUGGGAUUGAGGAACUCAGCACGCCGAAAGGCCGGGUACUUGUACCACGUUCGUGCUUAGGAUGCUGGCAUAAUGGCUUUAAUCGACCCGUCUUGAAACACGGACCAAGGAGUCUAACAUGCCUGCGAGUGUUUGGGUGGAAAACCCGAGCGCGUAAUGAAAGUGAAAGUUGAGAUCCCUGUCGCGGGGAGCAUCGACGCCCGGACCAGACCUUUUGUGACGGAUCCGCGGUAGAGCAUGUAUGUUGGGACCCGAAAGAUGGUGAACUAUGCCUGAAUAGGGUGAAGCCAGAGGAAACUCUGGUGGAGGCUCGUAGCGAUUCUGACGUGCAAAUCGAUCGUCAAAUUUGGGUAUAGGGGCGAAAGACUAAUCGAACCAUCUAGUAGCUGG